rnacentral:piRNA from 2 species
AUCUGUGAAAUGAGGGAGUUUGA